UACGGGGGGGGCAAGCGUUGUUCGGAAUUACUGGGCGUAAAGGGCUCGUAGGCGGCCAACUAAGUCAGACGUGAAAUCCCUCGGCUUAACCGGGGAACUGCGUCUGAUACUGGAUGGCUUGAGUUUGGGAGAGGGAUGCGGAAUUCCAGGUGUAGCGGUGAAAUGCGCAGAUAUUAGGAAGAACACCGGUGGCGAAGGCGGCUCUCUGGAACGGUACUGACGCUGAGACGCGAAAGCGUGGGGAGCGAACAGG
rnacentral:rRNA from 1 species